CCGGUUGAUCCUGCCAGAGGUUACUGCUAUCGAGGUUCGACUAAGCCAUGCGAGUCGAAUGUAGCAAUACAUGGCGAACUGCUCAGUAACACGUGGACAACCUGCCCUUAGGUUGGGUAUAAACCCGGGAAACUGGGUAUAAUUCCAGAUAGGUCACAGAUGCUGGAAUGCACUGUGGCCGAAAGCUCCGGCGCCCAAGGAUGGGUCUGCGGCCUAUCAGGGUUGUAGUGGGUGUAACGGACCUACUAGCCUACGACGGGUACGGGUUGUGAGAGCAAGAGCCCGGAGAUGGAUUCUGAGACACGAAUCCAGGCCCUACGGGGUGCAGCAGGCGCGAAAACUUUACAAUGCGGGAAACCGUGAUAAGGGAAUCUCGAGUGCCAGCAUAUAAUGUUGGCUGUCCAGAUGCCUAAAAAGCAUCUGUUAGCAAGGGCCGGGCAAGACCGGUGCCAGCCGCCGCGGCAACACCGGCGGCCCGAGUGGUAACCGCUUUUAUUGGGUCUAAAGGGUCUGUAGCCGGCCAAGUAAGUCCCUUGGGAAAUCUGGCAGCUUAACUGUCAGGCUGCUAGGGGAUACUGCUAGGCUUGGGACCGGGAGAGGUGAGAGGUACCUUGGGGGUAGGGGUGAAAUCUUGUGAUCCUCGGGGGACCACCAGUGGCGAAGGCGUCUCACCGGAACGGGUCCGACGGUAAGGGACGAAAGCUAGGGGCACGAACCGGAUUAGAUACCCGGGUAGUCCUAGCCGUAAACGAUGCUCGCUAGGUGUCAGUCACGGUGCGACCGUGAUUGGUGCCGUAGGGAAGCCGUGAAGCGAGCCACCUGGGAAGUAUGGCCGCAAGGCUGAAACUUAAAGGAAUUGGCGGGGGAGCACUACAACGGGUGGAGCCCGCGGUUUAAUUGGAUUCAACGCCGGG
rnacentral:rRNA from 1 species